rnacentral:rRNA from 1 species
ACGCUGGCGGCAGGCCUAACACAUGCAAGUCGAGCGGUAGAGAGAAGCUUGCUUCUCUUGAGAGCGGCGGACGGGUGAGUAAUGCCUAGGAAUCUGCCUGGUAGUGGGGGAUAACGUCCGGAAACGGACGCUAAUACCGCAUACGUCCUACGGGAGAAAGCAGGGGACCUUCGGGCCUUGCGCUAUCAGAUGAGCCUAGGUCGGAUUAGCUAGUUGGUGGGGUAAUGGCUCACCAAGGCGACGAUCCGUAACUGGUCUGAGAGGAUGAUCAGUCACACUGGAACUGAGACACGGUCCAGACUCCUACGGGAGGCAGCAGUGGGGAAUAUUGGACAAUGGGCGAAAGCCUGAUCCAGCCAUGCCGCGUGUGUGAAGAAGGUCUUCGGAUUGUAAAGCACUUUAAGUUGGGAGGAAGGGCAGUAAAUUAAUACUUUGCUGUUUUGACGUUACCGACAGAAUAAGCACCGGCUAACUCUGUGCCAGCAGCCGCGGUAAUACAGAGGGUGCAAGCGUUAAUCGGAAUUACUGGGCGUAAAGCGCGCGUAGGUGGCUCGUUAAGUUGGAUGUGAAAUCCCCGGGCUCAACCUGGGAACUGCAUUCAAAACUGACGAGCUAGAGUAUGGUAGAGGGUGGUGGAAUUUCCUGUGUAGCGGUGAAAUGCGUAGAUAUAGGAAGGAACACCAGUGGCGAAGGCGACCACCUGGACUGAUACUGACACUGAGGUGCGAAAGCGUGGGGAGCAAAC